GACGAACGCUGGCGGCGCGCCUAAUACAUGCAAGUCGAGCGAGAAGACGUAGCAAUACGUUUGUAAAGCGGCGAACGGGUGAGGAAUACAUGGGUAACCUACCCUCGAGUGGGGAAUAACUAGCCGAAAGGUUAGCUAAUACCGCGUACGCUCCUUGGACUUCGGUUCAGGGAGGAAAGCGAUACCGUGGGUAUCGCGCUCUUGGAUGGGCUCAUGUCCUAUCAGCUUGUUGGUGAGGAACGGCUCACCAAGGCUUCGACGGGUAGCUGGUCUGAGAGGACGAUCAGCCACACUGGCACUGCGACACGGGCCAGACUCCUACGGGAGGCAGCAGUGGGGAAUCUUGCGCAAUGGGCGAAAGCCUGACGCAGCGACGCCGCGUGAGGGAUGACGGCCUCGGUU
rnacentral:rRNA from 1 species